rnacentral:ncRNA from 1 species
GAUACCAGACUGAUCUUCCCUAAGAGCUCACAUCGAUGGGAAGGUUUGGCACCUCGAUGUCGAUUCUUUGCCACCUGGGGCUAUAGUAUGUUCUAAGGGUUGGCUUGUUCGCCCAUUAAAGUGGUACAUGAGCUAAGUUCAGAACGUUGUGCGACAGUUC